rfam:Strongylocentrotus purpuratus Contig109740_fixed, whole genome shotgun sequence.
CCAACAGUCUUUUUCAAGACUACCAACAGUCCUUUUCAGGACUCC